GGUAGGUACCAUUAUGAUUGUUGUUGGUGACUUCCCUUGUUCGAAGGUUUAUGGAUGCAGAUUUGUGCAUCAUAUGGCUAGCUAGAGGCAAUCGCCUCUUGAAGCUAACCAAAAGCUACAUUCGUCCUAUUUCUCUGGACUGCCACGUUAGUCUGGCAAUAAAUAUUAAUACCCAGUACUGCUGCUGUAUCUCUCCUUCAGAGAGGUUUAGAAAUUAUAACAUU